GCGGCGCUGAGGAGGCUCAGGGAGCCCCGGGGGGGGUCGGUGCGGGGACCGGGCGGACCCGCAGGUCUGGCGGAACCCGCCCCAGCGCCUUUAACUUUUAUUCUUCCUGCCGAAGAUUUAAAGCGGCUUCGUACAACAGUCAAACAAGAGUCUCUUCCUCCAGCCUGAGCCCGAUGGGAAUGUCCCCCCUCCUCUGGCUGGGACAAAUCCACUCGAAUUCCCGAAAAACGCCCGGCCCCGCUCCCCGAGGGCUCGGCGUACGCGCAGAUCUAUGGACACACACCUGGACGGAGAUCAAAACUGAUCUGCCGGGGAAUACCUAAUAAAAAAAGGGAGCAUCGUCUCUUCCCAGAGGGAAGAAAAAUGAAAAGCAGAAAAACAACGUGUUGACUCGCCCAGCGAGGUUGCCUUUGAUGUAUGAACGCUGCCCAAACCCCAGCCUUGUUAAAUGAAGACUUUCCAUGAAGAAUGACAAUAGAAUUGGUGAUAUUUUUUUGUUAGCCCAGACCCCAAGCGAUGCCAGCCUGCCCUCCGCUUCCUCCGACGCCUCAACUGCGGAUGCUGGAGGACAACUUACCCAUUAAUUCGCGACCUAUUGCAUCAACGCCGAGCUCAAGAGCGGCUUAAGAUGCUCUUUCCCAGGAAUACAAACAACUUUACGUGGAAAAAAAAAAAACCCGUGUGCGUGUCUGUAUACAUCCACGUGCGUGAUUAAACAUGUGUGUGCACAGGAUAGAUAAAUGACAAACCAAUAGAGACACCCUGUGCCCUCACUGCAGAAUUUUAUGCGGUCUUUACCGCCGUUCUUCAGACAAAAAAAAAGGGGUCUUGGUUGGGGUACGUUGUGUUUUUCUUUUCUUUCCGUGAUUCCUGCCCAGGCUCUAAAUGCAGCUCUGGAUCCUCGGUCACAAAUAUAAGCAAUCCUCGAGUAAUUGCUUACACAUGCGACGGGAGAACGCGUCCCGUCCCGCGCUCACCGCCCCUCAGCGCGCCUUGCGGAGCGGUCAGUGUCUUGG